GGCGUCCCUAUACAGUUCAGGCUGGCCUUGAACUCACUGUGUAGCCCAGGCUGGUCUCAAACUCAUAAUGAUCCUCCUGCCUCUGCCUCCCGAGUGCUGGGAUUACAGGCAUGAGCCACCAUGCCCG
rnacentral:miRNA from 1 species